GUCAUUUGUGUUGCUGUUGUUAAGAGAGUCCAGGGCAGGGCCUAGGUCUCCAUCAGCUGAGUGGAUCCGAGGGACGUGGAAACAGGGCUCCAUAAACAGCAGGCGUCAGAGCUGCUUUUGCAAUCUUCGAAUUGGUCAGACUCCAGUAUUUUCAUGCAAGAGGGUGAUUGGUAGAAAAAUGAAUCUUCAGCGGGAUAACGAAGGAACUUUAAGGUUCUAAAUUUACAUCUCGCGAAUGCCCAGUGACAUCAGUUUUUCAAAGUUGAAAAUCUUUGAGAAGGAGAUAAAACUUCCGAACCCAAACGACACUUGACAUUUCCCAAAGGAUGCGUGAUGAUCUGGGAGGUUUGGGCGAAAGAGAGGGUGAAUCUGCAUACUAGAUUUUGCGAAAAAGUAUUCAUACCUGUGCUAGGACCAAAUCUGGUGGACCACAA